rnacentral:hammerhead_ribozyme from 1 species
GUACUGAUGAAGAGUCCCAAACUAGGACGAAACAGUUCUCCAGUAC